rnacentral:rRNA from 1 species
UACGGAGGAUCCGAGCGUUAUCCGGAUUUAUUGGGUUUAAAGGGUGCGCAGGCGGGGGAUUAAGUCGGCGGUGAAAUUUUGCAGCUCAACUGUAAAAGUGCCUUCGAAACUGGUUUCCUUGAGUGUAGCUGAAGUAGGCGGAAUUUGUGGUGUAGCGGUGAAAUGCAUAGAUAUCACGAGGAACUCCGAUUGCGCAGGCAGCUUACUGGGAUGCAACUGACGCUGAGGCACGAAAGCGUGGGUAUCAAACAGGAUUAGAUACCCU